rnacentral:piRNA from 1 species
CAGCAACGGGACGGAAUGCAAAUG